CCCUUAGAUGUUCUGGGCUGCACGCGCGCUACACUGAUGCGUUCAACGAGUGUACAUCCUGGCCCGGUAGGGUUGGGUAAUCUUCUGAACACGCAUCGUGAUGGGGAUAGAUUAUUGCAAUUAUUAAUCUUCAACGAGGAAUUCCUAGUAAUGGUGAAUCAUCAGUUCAUCGUGAUUACGUCCCUGCCCUUUGUACACACCGCCCGUCGCUCCUACCGAUUGAAUGGUCCGGUGAAAUCUCGGGACGGCGGCUUGGUCGCUUGCGUCCGACUGCUGAAACUUGAUUAAACCAUAUCAUUUAGAGGAAGGUGAAGUCGUAACA
rnacentral:rRNA from 1 species